rnacentral:rRNA from 1 species
GAUGAACGCUAGCUACAGGCUUAACACAUGCAAGUCGAGGGGUAGCAGGGUAGCAAUACCGCUGACGACCGGCGCACGGGUGAGUAACACGUAUCCAACCUUCCCAUAACUCGGGGAUAGCCUUUCGAAAGAAAGAUUAAUACCCGAUAGUACUUUUUCAAGGCAUCUUGAAAAAGUUAAAGAUUUAUUGGUUAUGGAUGGGGAUGCGUUCCAUUAGAUAGUUGGUGAGGUAACGGCUCACCAAGUCUUCGAUGGAUAGGGGUUCUGAGAGGAAGGUCCCCCACACUGGUACUGGGACCAGGACCAAACUCAUACGGGAUGCAGCAGUGAGGAAUAUUGGUCAAUGGGCGAGAGCCUGAACCAGCCAAGUAGCGUGAAGGAUGAAGGUCCUAUGGAUUGUAAACUUCUUUUAUAGUAGAAUAAAGUGAGCCACGUGUGGUUUUUUGUAUGUAUACUAUGAAUAAGGAUCGGCUAACUCCGUGCCAGCCGCCGCCGUAA